rnacentral:lncRNA from 1 species
AACACUUAACAAAUUACAUCCUUCCUUUCCUCUUGCUUACCACUCUCGGCCGAAGACCACAACACACCCCACCACUUUCCAUUUUUUUUAUUUUGGCAACCCUACAUAAUUCAAAGGUGUUAGAGCUCGUAUAAGGAAGCCCGGUGUUCACGGAAUCGCAAGGACCUCACCACAACGCUAUUAACCACCCGUUUUUCGACUAGUUUCUUCCCUAGCCUCGAGCUAGUAGUCGUUGCACAGCUUACGGAUAUUCGGAUUACUUGGUAUUGAGACGCACUCACUACGCUGGAUGUCUUGGAUGUUGUUGAGGAAAUUAAUGGAUCUGGCGAAGUGUGCAAUCGUGUCAAGCUGCGUAGGGAAUAAUGAUGUCAUCCUGGUUUAGGAGGUGUAACCCUUACCUGGACGGGUUACAUGUCCUUAAACCAUGUUUUAUUCAUGUCUUUUGUUGUGUCAUGUGAACACGUUUUAAAUUAUGUCAUGGUUGUAACUUGUUUUAUGUGUCGACAUUUUAAACAAUGAUGUUGUGGUAACUUUAAAUUCAAUGAAUGGAUGAUCAUCAUGUGUUUUAUU